CCUACGGGAGGCUGCAGUGAGGAAUAUUGGUCAAUGGACGAGAGUCUGAACCAGCCAAGUAGCGUGAAGGAUGACUGCCCUAUGGGUUGUAAACUUCUUUUAUAUGGGAAUAAAAUGUUCCACGUGUGGGAUUUUGUAUGUACCAUAUGAAUAAGGAUCGGCUAACUCCGUGCCAGCAGCCGCGGUAAUACGGAGGAUCCGAGCGUUAUCCGGAUUUAUUGGGUUUAACGGGAGCGUAGGUGGAUUGUUAAGUCAGUUGUGAAAGUUUGCGGCUCAACCGUAAAAUUGCAGUUGAAACUGGCAGUCUUGAGUACAGUAGAGGUGGGCGGAAUUCGUGGUGUAGCGGUGAAAUGCUUAGAUAUCACGAAGAACUCCGAUGGCGAAGGCAGUUCACUGGACUGCAACUGACACUGAGGCUCGAAAGUGUGGGUAUCAAACAGGAUUAGAUACCCUUGUAGUC
rnacentral:rRNA from 1 species